rnacentral:misc_RNA from 1 species
GAUGAAGAACGUAGCGAAAUGCGAUAAGUAAUGUGAAUUGCAGAAUUCAGUGAAUCAUCGAAUCUUUGAACGCACAUUGCGCCCCCUGGUAUUCCGGGGGGCAUGCCUGUUCGAGCGUCAUUUCACCACUCAAGCCUCGCUUGGUAUUGGGCAACGCGGUCCGCCGCGUGCCUCAAAUCGACCGGCUGGGUCUUCUGUCCCCUAAGCGUUGUGGAAACUAUUCGCUAAAGGGUGUUCGGGAGGCUACGCCGUAGAACAACCCCAUUUCUAAGGUUGACCUCGGAUCAGGUAGGGAUACCCGCUGAACUUAAGCAUAUCAAUAAGCGGAGGA